AAAUGCAAUGUCAGUUAUUGUUGCACAACAAUUUUGUUGUUUCAAUGUGCUACACAAUACAGCCAGAAUGAUGCCUGAACAAGAGCUGCCGCCGUUAGAUGAAAUAAAUAUGGACCAAAUUAAUAAGAAGAGAAAUAAUAAAUUAUUUUGAAAGAUUAGGGCAAUAUUUUUUUUAACUUAUUCUAAACAUGUUUUUAUGUUGUUAUUAAAUCUCUUGAGUAUUAAUUUCUAUAAAAUAUCAUUAUUAAAUGUCUUUUAUUCAGAAAUAACAUACAUUACAUUUUUUACAUUACAAUAUAAACACUAAUUAAAAUUAUUAAAUAAGUUCUCUUUGAGAACUUUACUGUUCUUUUUUUAUUUCAAUGUCUAACAACCCUUUUUUUCUUUAGCUUAUGUUCUUCUCUGUUUUGAAUACUACUACUUUGAAUUUUGCCCAUCUCUAUAUUACAAAAGAACAGCCUUUUGUCUAGUAAAUUAAUAUCUUCCCUUUUCUUCUGUUUCUUUGUAACCAUCAGUUUUGUUUUG